rnacentral:rRNA from 1 species
AACGAACGCUGGCGGCAUGCCUAACACAUGCAAGUCGAACGAGACCUUCGGGUCUAGUGGCGCACGGGUGCGUAACGCGUGGGAACCUGCCCUUAGGUUCGGAAUAACUCCCCGAAAGGGGUGCUAAUACCGGAUAAUGUCUUCGGACCAAAGAUUUAUCGCCUUUGGAUGGGCCCGCGUUGGCUUAGCUAGUUGGUAGGGUAAAAGCCUACCAAGGCGACGAUCCAUAGCUGGUCUGAGAGGAUGAGCAGCCACACUGGGACUGAGACACGGCCCAGACUCCUACGGGAGGCAGCAGUGGGGAAUAUUGGACAAUGGGCGGAGUGCUGAUCCAGCAAUGCCGCGUGAGUGAUGAAGGCCGUAGGGUUGUAAAGCUCGUUUACCCGGGAUGAUAAUGACAGUACCGGGAGAAUAAGCACCGGCUAACUCCGUG